GAUGAACGCUGGCGGCGUGCCUAAUACAUGCAAGUCGAGCGAACAGACGAGGAGCUUGCUCCUCUGACGUUAGCGGCGGACGGGUGAGUAACACGUGGAUAACCUACCUAUAAGACUGGGAUAACUUCGGGAAACCGGAGCUAAUACCGGAUAAUAUAUUGAACCGCAUGGUUCAAUAGUGAUAGACGCUUUUGCUGUCACUUAUAGAUGGAUCCGCGCCGCAUUAGCUAGUUGGUAAGGUAACGGCUUACCAAGGCAACGAUGCGUAGCCGACCUGAGAGGGUGAUCAGCCACACUGGAACUGAGACACGGUCCAGACUCCUACGGGAGGCAGCAGUAGGGAAUAUUCCGCAAUGGGCGAAAGCCUGACGGAGCAACGCCGCGUGAGUGAUGAAGGUCUUCGGAUCGUAAAACUCUGUUAUUAGGGAAGAACAAAUGUGUAAGUAACUAUGCACGUCUUGACGGUACCUAAUCAGAAAGCCACGGCUAACUACGUG
rnacentral:rRNA from 1 species